AUGCGAUACUGGUGUGAAUUGCAGAAUUCAGUGAAUCAUCGAAUCUUUGAACGCACAUUGCGCCCGCCAGCAUUCUGGCGGGCAUGCCUGUUCGAGCGUCAUUUCAACCCUCAAGCUCUGCUUGGUGUUGGGGCCCUACAGCCGAUGUAGGCCCUCAAAGGUAGUGGCGGACCCUCCCGGAGCCUCCUUUGCGUAGUAACUUUACGUCUCGCACUGGGAUCCGGAGGGACUCUUGCCGUAAAACCCCCCAAUUUUCCAAAGGUUGACCUCGGAUCAGGUAGGAAUACCCGCUGAACUUAAGCAUAUCAAUAAGGCGGAGGAA
rnacentral:rRNA from 1 species